rnacentral:rRNA from 1 species
UACGAAGGGGGCUAGCGUUGCUCGGAAUGACUGGGCGUAAAGGGCGCGUAGGCGGAUGGCACAGUCAGAUGUGAAAUUCCCGGGCUUAACCUGGGGGCUGCAUUUGAUACGUGUGAUCUAGAGUGAGGAAGAGGGUCGUGGAAUUCCCAGUGUAGAGGUGAAAUUCGUAGAUAUUGGGAAGAACACCGGUGGCGAAGGCGGCGCACUGGACCACAACUGACGCUGAGGCGCGAAAGCUAGGGGAGCAAACAGG